AAAACUAUACUUUCAGGGGUCAUUUCUAUAGUUCGUUACUAGAGAAGUCUCUCUGCAUGCAUAAAGCACUGGAAACCUCAAGGAGGAGGCGCCGUGUUCUCUCCUGAGCAUGAAGCUGGCUCUUGGUGAUGCUUUAGUGCAAUUGCCAUUUGCCACUGAUCGUUCUUCUCUCUCUUUGGGGGAGUAAGAGGGAGAGAAAAAAAGAAGA
rfam:Otolemur garnettii contig023464, whole genome shotgun sequence.